rnacentral:tRNA from 1 species
AAGCCUGUAGCUCAAUGGUUUGAGCCGUCGGCUCAUGACCGACUGGUUGCAGGUUCGCGUCCUGCCGGGCCCACCA